AAGCCAGGAGUAAUAAGGUCAACGAUGCCCAUCAGAGAGGGCCACUGCAGCCAUCAGUAUUUGUUAUCAAAGAGCCUAUCAACAUCUGGUGGGUGGAUUCUCUGUUUGUAAAUGAUGGGUGCUGAUGAGUUCCUUUCCACAUCUCAAGGUGAACCUCCAUGCCGGAAGCUGGAGAGCCACGGGCAACAUCCAGGACAUGGGUUGUGCUGGGAGGACAUGUGUGAUGACUAUUAUCUGAAAUUUCAGUGGUUUUACUGGAAGGUACCUAAGGAAUAGCCAUAAUAUGUUCUCCAGUGAUUCCUAAACGACCUUUUAAGAUUCAAAACAUGAGAUGUCAGGAUGAAGCAUAAGUUAAACGCAAAGUUAACAGAACUGGAAUCUUUGAAGUUAUACUAGCUAGAUUAAUUUGACUUGCCGGAGUUUACAGAAAGUGAAUGCAGCAAAGUAAACACACUAGUUAUGCACCUUCACCAGAGUCUCCAGUUAAACAUUGUCAUCAUAAAGAAAAAGUAGCACACAUGUUUUCGAAAACGAUGUUUCACAGACCUAUUGGAAUCAACUCGAUAUUCCAUGAUUGACUAAAUUGAAAUAGCUCAAGGUAAACAGUAAACUAAACUUAUAUGAUAUACCUAUCAAACAUGAGUGAAAAAGACAAACUAGGCAGACCACAUCAAUUAAACAUGGAAGGCAGCACUAGAGGUUGCAUGUAGAAACUUCAAGUAUCAAAGGCUAUUCAUCUCGUGAAAGAAAUUAUUCAAUAUUCAAAUGAGAAUGACUGGUGUAAGACAUUAACAUAGAAAAUGACUAUAUCAACAAAACCAAGUGUGACAUCGACGAAGAAAAUGACUAUACAACCAAAUCAAGUUGCCACCAAAUCAAGUGAAACAAUGCUCCUGGAAUUACCUCGGUACAGGUGAAAACAAACUGCAAGCACAUAAGAUACGAUCGAAUAUGUUCAUUCCAGCGAAUAAACUUUGGACCACAUGCAGCAGGUACUACCACGUACAGAGCAAUGGUUUAUGAUGAAUCUAGAGAUCUUGAGAAACAGCAUACCAAAGAAAAUAACUCAUACAGACCACUUAACCAUCCUCUGGAUGCAAUUAGCAAGUUCCCAAAAGAGAAACCACACUGAGAAAGAUAUUCAUCCAGACAAAGCAAUAUGUUCAUCCUUCUUUCCUCUGGCUUAGAUUACUCCUAAUGGUUACAAGCAACAUGAGAGUUGCUUCAGUAAAUUUUACAUCUACCCAACCACUAAUCUAUAAGAAUAUAAAGGAUAUGUGCAAAUGGGCAUAAAAGCGUGCAAGGGAUCUAUCCAUCUUACCAAACUCGGGCAUAACUAAUACAUGUCCUUACCUCUAAUCACUGGAAUCCACGAUAUGAAGAAUCUAAGAUCCAAUUUCCAUAUAUAUAAUCAAAUGUAGUAUGAUUGCACCCACAGAAGAUAAUUUAAACGACACAAAAUAUAGUGUAAAAAGCCUAUUUUAAACUCAAUUUUCAACAGUCUACACAUUAUCUUGGUUUUCUGUUUCCUUAAGCAGGUUCUAUCACUCUGCUAGUGAACAAGACCAACCGUAGACAUUUGCAGAUGAACAAAGCAAUAAAUUUUAAGAAUGAAUUUCCAUGUCUUCAUCUGACCAAACAUUGUUUUUGUAACAACAAAUACAGAGCUUGCCCAACCUCAAUUGACAGCUUUGUUUCUCAUAUCUAAACUAUUGAAUUUCAACGGCAAUUAUUUAUUCUCAAAUACCUCCAAUAGACAUUCAGUUAUACAAGUAAAAGUGAGAAGAAAAUGAUCAAUUGUGUGACAAAGAUAACUGGAAAAAAAAAAAAGAUUCUCCUUGUUUAAAACAUCAGGAAAAUGAAGACGUUACUACUUAGUUGGAGAACUAACAGGAAGACGAGUUGUGACUGGAAUGUUUGAUCCAGCAUCAGAAUUAAAAAGCCUAGCAAGACGCAAUUCAAUUAUCUUCAUCUCCUCUUGUGCUGCUAUUUCAAGUUCGACAAUGGGCCUAUUCAGGUAGCGUUUCUAUAGCAAGGUAAAAUCAGUAGGUUAACAAUAGAUACACUCAGAAAUUGUCAAAGAAGAGAAUGCAACAUUAGCUGCACCUAAAUUGAUAAUAAAUUCAGAAAUCAAAUAUAAUUAGCGUUGACAUGCUCAUGUCAUAGUAAGGUUAUUCACAUCAAUAGUGACCCAUUUCCAAAAUGGGGACAAAUUUAAAUAAAAUAACAUCACAAUAUAAGUAGCCCAAAUUAUCAAGGAUUUGAAGGACUAGAUGCAUAAGAGGAAUGAACAACUGUACAUGCCACAAUGGUUAACAGAUAAAAACAACGAAUAGAUAAUCAUGUCAAAUGAACUGAAUGAGAACCAAUGCACCAAAUAUCAAGUAGACAAACCACUUCUUCACAGGCAACCUACAAAUGAUUCCACCAGAUUGAGAUGCCUUUUCUUUCUUCUAAAGCAACCACAUGAGGAACAUUUUCAUAUAAAGUUUUGGAAAAAAUUUGUAAAGAGUGAAAUUUAGCUGAUUCAAAGUUAAUAAAAUAUGGAGAAGUUGCAUCAUAUGCAGAAGAGAGAAGCACAAAUUAACAAAAGAACUAAUAUUUACUGACCAGGUACAGAGAAUAUGAUAAGAGCAUAAGAAUCAGAUCCUUAUAAUUAAAAAAAAACAUAUUUUAACCAAAGAAGUUUCUUUAGCAUCUAGGACCCUCAAAGAGCUUCCUGCUUCCAUUAUGUGGACUUCUACAGUUAUCAACAUAGGUUUUAAGGCAAUGCCAUAGGAGGAAAAUGAAAGCUUGGAUUUGCCCAACAAAGAGUUCUUGAAUCUUCUAUGAAAAUUUGUUCCAAGAGUGUUUCAUAUCAUCCAUCUUUAUUCCUUCUCUAGAUCCUUGAACCAUCUUUAUCGAGUGNNNNNNNNNNNNNNNNNNNNAAGAGUGUUUCAUAUCAUCCAUCUUUAUUCCUUCUCUAGAUCCUUGAACCAUCUUUAUCGAGUGCCAAAACAUUCAAGAACACUAUAUCAAAGUAACACUUCUAAACAUGUAACUCAGCAUCUUUCCAAUUUCCAUUAUAUCAAUAGAUGUAGAAAUACAACGUCAACCUAUUUUCUUGUUAUUGAUCCCCUUUUUUCUUACUCUUUCUACAGUUAGGGCUUAAGGGUGUCCCUCUUUUGGGAUUAAAAACACAAAAUAUGAAUCUAUAAAGCAUAAAAAACUUCAAUUUUUCAGAUGUCUUUGGAUGCAGCUAAAUUCAGGAUAAAGAUCCAUCCUUGCAUGCGCAUAAAAAACCACAGGAACACACAGCACAGGAUAAAAGAGCCUCUUGGCAGAGGUAGUAGACACAACAUUGAUGAGUAGUUCUAUGUAGUGGUAAGACCUAACAAGAUUCCAAUGAAAAGAUAGUUUUAAGUAGCAAUAGUAUCUUCCAUCUUACCAUCAUUAAAACUGUUAUUUGUUAAAAGUAAUUGGAAAGCAUGAUUCAGCAAAACGGUAGUUUGUUCAGAAAAAUGGGACCUUUAAUUCAGCAAGGAUCUCCGUCGUGCCCCUCCCAGAUGCGCAUAUGAGGAACACGAACCCAAACUUCUCCCUGUACCGAAAAUUCCAUUCCACCAAUUCCUUCCAUUUAAAAAAAACAAAGGAGAAGUUAAUAACUGUCGACGUAAUUAAAAGAAGAUAUUUCAGUAAAACAAUUAAUGACACGUCGGAGGAUCACUUGCAAGGCGGAAUCGUUUGGGAGACGGAAGGAGAGGCGGCUCCGAUCGCCGGGUGAGCCGCGAAAGCCUCGGGUCAUCCGACGGCGUCGACGUACAAGAUUCAUUAGAAAUCAAGAGGGAGAUGGAAUCACAACAGGCUAGAGAGAAGAACGGGAAGAGGAACUAGGAAUACGGCAACGGGGAGACCUUGUCGAACCAGAUGUCGCAGGCAGAUCGGAGGGCGUGGUCGAGAUUGGUGAAGGGGGAGGCCGAGACGAUCUCCUUGGCGAACCUUUUGCUGCCGCAGCAGCGCAGCACGUCCUCCUCCACGCACGAAAGAGCCGUCAUCUUUCUCUUCUCCCAUCUCUUCCUCCCCUCUCUUCGUUCCUCUCCUCUCUUCCUUCCAACACUGCCAACUCCUCUUCUCUGGCCACGUGAACAUGAUGAUGAUGCUUAUUAUUAUUAUUUUAUUUUCUGAUAUUGUCAGGGUUUUCUUUUUUUACUGUGUGAUUUUGUUGAAUAAGUUAUUUUUUUACUUUAGUAUUUAAAAAAAAUAAGUUACUUUUUAUUUUUUUAUUAUUAAUUUUUUAAGGUGCAUGUUGAAUAUAGUUUGGGAGUGCAUGCAAAAAGGAUGUUUAAAUCAAAUCAAAAAAUUAAUUGAAAUCAAAUCAGAAUCAAAUAGAUCUAAAAUGAAAUGGUUUGAUCUAGAUCUGUUUAUUAAUAAUUUAAUUUUAAAGACUAUAAAUUAUUCUGGUUUAAGAAAAUAUUCUUCUUCGAUCUGAUUAAUCGAAUUAGUCUUAAUUUAAAAAUAUUAAUUUGAUCAAAUUUAUUAUCUUAAGCUCUUAAUCGAUUCAAUCUAAUUAAUCAAACCAAUCUAAAUGCCUGAUUCAAUAUCAUUGUCAAUGUCACAAUUUCACAAAUGUCAAUUGUCACAACUUAUGGAAUUGAACUAAGAUAGAUCAUUAUUAGCGAUCGAUUAAGGACUAAUAGAGAUUGAGAAUAAAUAUAUAAUCUCAAUAACUAGUCUUUAUCAUCCCAACAAGUUCUUCUACAUUUAUAUACGAGAGUAAAAGGUGUUCGUUGGUAAUUAAGAGAAUCCUAUUAUAAGUAUAUUUUCUUACUGUUGAUCGAUAAUUAUAAUUAAAAAUCAAUCAUAUCUAUAAUAUAUCUUAUCUAAUUAAAGAAGAUUACAUAAUCUAAUAUUUUUUUAAUUGACCUAUUAAAUACUAAAAUUUAAAAAAAUUAAAAUCAAAAUAAAUAAAUAAAAAGUUAUUUAAAAAAAAAUUUAUUUAAUUAGAUUUUAAAAAUUAAAAAAAAUAUUUUAUACGUGCAUAUGAAUUUUAUAAAACGAACUAAUAAAUCCAAUAAAUCUAACUACCGAGUCAUAACAAAUAUACGUCAUCAAUAUAAUACUUCCUUUUAUAUAUCACAACAGCAUUAAUCCUUCCUAAUAUAGUUCAAAAUGAUCCAUAUGGAUCAUAUAAUUUAUCUUGUCAAGAUAAUAUAUAAUAUAAAUAUAUAUAUUAAAUUUUAAUAUGAUAACAAAAAUAAAUAAAUUUAAUUACGUAAACAAAAAUAUCAAUUAUGAUAUCUACUCAGACAUACAUCACUAUAUCUUUUAUAUGUUGUUGACAAAUCCAAUAAUAAAAACAUAUUCUUUUAAACACUUUAAAUUAUAAAUCAUAAAUGAAUAGAUUAACAAUCAAUAUAAUGAAGCUCAAGUUCUUAAUUGAUAUUAAUUAUUUCUAUAUUCUUUCUCUAAUCAUCAAGUAUUUUAUAUCAUAAUGCAUAAAACUGUUAAAGUACUUAUCAUUCAAACUUUAUUUAUCGAUUAGAUAAUUUACCAAUACAUGGACCAAAAUCAACAAUGGUAUAUUGUAUAUAACAGUUACAUUAUUUAGUACAAGACAUGUACCUCUGUAUCGGAUAAAAGACCCAAUAUCAUACGAUACACCUGACAUUUUAUACAUUAUAUAUAUAUAUAUAUAUAUAUAUAUAUAUAUAUAUAUAUAUAUAUUUUUUAAACAAUAUGUGUCAAUGUAAUGACACAAUAUAGAUAAUAUAGAUUAGCACAGACCAAUACAAUACCAGCCUGAACUCUAAUUAUGAACCUCAAAGUAAAACUAUCUUAGACUCAUUAGGAAGAGCUUUUGCAAAGUAAAGCUAGCAUUCUCAAAACCUCCUUUUAUUCAUCAAUAUUCCUAGGAAGACCAAUCUAUUUAAACAUUCUAUAUAUCUGAUAACUUUGAUUUGUUGUGAGAGAGUCAAUAGGGAGAAGCUUCCUCGGACCUACCUUUCAAAUCUUUGACACAAAUUUGACAUCUAAGCUGCAUCUUGAUGGGAGUUUUAGGUCCUCCCAGUUUGGAUCGUCGACCUCAGCAAAAUACUGAUCAAGCACUUUGGAAUCUACCAGAUCCAAUCUAGAAGGCUCCCACUGCAAAUAACAAUUACAAGAAAUUUGUCGUCAGGUGUUUCACGGAACCUUAAGUUUUGUUAAAGAUCGGUAAAGAACCAGACCUUCGGAUUCCUAUCUUUAUCCACCAAUAUAGCCCUGCAACCCUGCAGAAGAAUUAAGGGUUUUAGAUGACAGAAAAGGAAGCAUGUCAAAGUGCUUCUUGUGAGGUACCUCUGAGAAAUCCUUGCUGGCUUCAAAACGUAAUAUAUGGCAACACAAUCUGAAAUCCUUCAUAAGACAUCGAUCAACUCCUUGCAGUCUCCCUUCUCUGAUCUAGAUCCUCGCAUUAAGUAGUAGUUCAACACACAGUCAGCAACAUGCACCAUCAUGCUCAGACACUGAUAUAUAAAAAGCUUGAUCCAGAUUAAUAUCAUGUUAAACAAAAACUGAAUCAAAUAAGUUUGAUUAGGCUUAAAUUUGUGGGUCUUUCAAAGAUAAUGUCCAUCUAUCACCAAUCAAGCAAGUGCAAGACCACUUAAUAUUAUUUCCCAAGGUGAAAGAAAACCCCCCUCAUCAACCACUAUGAUCCUACAGAUGUAGUAAAAGCAAAACAAUGAAAUAGCAACCAAAGUUGAAAAAUGUGACACUGACAUAAAACAUCUGAGAAAUUCAUACAGGCAUGCAUCCAAACGAGGCAAAAAGACGAAAUUGAGAUAUGAAAAUCACAAAAGUUGGUGAUAACAAUAAUAAUGAUGAUGAUAAAAAUAAUAGAAAUAGUAAACUAAUAAUGACCACAAAAAGUACACCAAUAUAGCACUUGUUCUGGAAUACAGUGACAGGAUAAAAAUUGGAAGUUAAUAGGAAUGCUUAGUGGUCAGUCAGGAUGCAGAAGAGUAAUCUUAUUGUAACAUGACAACAAGGCUUGUCAUCUUCAGUCAAUGUUGUAGUGAUAUAAUGAUAAUUUGCGGUGUCAAUAUGAACACAAAUACAUAUCCAACACGGCUUGUGAAUGGCAACACAAGAUUCCAUGUAACAGUUUUAAGCAGGGUCUGCAGUACCGAACUGUACCGCCUGGUAUGGGCGGUACGUACCGGUCCGACAGGUUGCUGGUACGCAGACCGCCUGUUAUCAGUGCUACAGUACUCGGCACACCUGAGUGUACCGCUCGGUACACCUGGGUGUACCGCUCUAUCACGGACUUAGCUGGUUUUGCCUAAGUCGUGCGGUACCCUUGCGUGUCCGUCCGCAAAGGUCAGCCUCCCCGAAGCCUCCCAUUGUCCCUUAGGACCAACAAAAGAGAGAACGGGUUAGAGAGAACGCCUCAAUCGGGAUCCACAAGCAAACAUCUCCGAAAAACACUUCAUAGACAAUGCAAAUUACAAACAGACUUUACAAGCUCUGAACAGUUGCACAACAAAGGGUAAAAUAUAAAAUAGUCCAUUACAGACCGAAAAUCUCUCGAACGUGUCCACAUGACACAACCUUUAUUUACAAGCCUAAAGAGGCCACCAACCCAACUAAAAUGGGACUAUUAAGUCUUCGGCCGUCCCUCUACAUGUUGUACAAGGCAUGAACAUACCAAAAGACACGGACAUACAUAAGCAUUACAUCAAACAUCCUGUUUAGAAGUUUGUCCGUGACAUUCUCCCCCACUUAUUCCUUCGACGUCCUCGUUGAAGCCUUUGUCGACACUGCAACUCCUCGCCUUUGCUGAGUCUUCAAUCUUCUGCUCCAGCUACAAUGCGCCUCUUGGCUCCCAGCUGCUCCCCGCUACUGUUUUUGAGUAGUCGAACCUUUUGAUCCGCCAUGCUGCUUCAACUCACCAAUGACUCUGACUCUAGUGUGGGGUUGGCUGAGUUGUGUUGAUCCUUGUUGAUUCCAGCGGAUCCCCCAGAUGAAGGAAAAGACCAUCCUUACUGCGUCAGUCUCUCAAAUGUCUCAUGCUGCUUGAACUGGAUGGAUGCUUGUUGGAGCUUUAACGAGCAUCGUCUCGCAAACUUCUGAAGUUUUGGGUCCUUCCUCCACCAAAUUUACUCAUUGACUCUUCUUUCACUUAGUUGUCACAUCCAAGUAGGUUCGCAUCACUUCCGCUUUCGAUUUGAAUUUCGUUGGGAAAUGAAGCGGACAAUCUACUCUCAGUAACACUGAUCACCAUUGGUGAGGAUUUGACAACUAUUGUCUUUCAUUAUCUUCGAAGGGUCUUUGAACAUAUACAGAGCUCCUCUGUUGGAUAGAUAAGAGAAUUGGGGUACUCAGUUUCGCCCAUUCUCUUAAGAGUUGAGAAGGCAAAGGUUACUUGACUUCGCCCGCCUCCUCGAGGUUGUACUUCAUGCAUCGAGCUAGUUACUAGCCUUCGCCUGCUCUUUGCUCACACUUCUGAAGCACUUGAAGUGUUUGCACUCCUUGCGUUGAGUUAGUUACUGUGAUUCACCUUCUCAAUGCCAUCGAACUUCUGGAAUGCAGGAAGUUUUCACCCCAACUUGGAGUAAUUCUCUCAUAGGUUUGGUCGCCUCUAGGAUUGUACUGUCUUCUCCAUGAACCCUACCGCCUACUCCACUGAGUAACAAAGGUACAGCACCGCGUACUGCCUGCUUCGUUCCUUGGUUAUGCACUCUUGCAUGACCUGAAGUCCUUCACUUUCGGCUAUCUUGAUGAGAAGCUCAUUGACACCGGUCUUACGAAGUUCCUCGGCCUCUGCCCUUCAGCCUUGUCUCGGUACUUGGAGAUUGCCUCUGCAUGCUCCACCUCUUCGGCCCCUUUCACGACCAAGCGCUCUCCCUCCAUGAGAGCAAGGGAUCAAUGACUUUCACGGAAGUCCCACCUCUGCGGUACCAUGGCGCUGCCAUGCCCAUGGCCCUACUAUCCGUCGCCUCGCAUCUGCAUCCUUUUUCUUCACAAUCAGUAGAUAUGCCUCUGUGGCACUCCUCCGAGUCCACCUUCGUUCUAACCGGUGCUUGAUUUUGGGUAGCUAAGUCCCUCUGGACUCGUCGUUGCUUCCUCGCCCCUUUCGACCCCCUGCUUCAACACCUCUGUGUUCUCCAAGCAGUCCGUUUGGUAGAUGGGAAGACAGAUUGCAACUCCCAUGCAUGGCCUCUGCCAUCACGUUGUAGGGUUUGCACCGAUUAUGUUCUCCUUAGCUUCCUUGGCAGCAACGUUCGCUUACUCGACCUUGUCCUAUGAUUUAUCGGGCUCCCUUAAGCGAAUAUGAGCUCUGGAGCAGUCCAACUCUCCAGCUGCUUCGAUCAUACCUCUGCAUGAUCAAGUCCCUCCCAUGGAACUCACUGGUACUUGCAUUCGAACUUUUCCCUUGGUGGAACCCAGCCCCCAUAUGCUGAUGACCAAGGUUUUCAUCCGAUGCAAAAUUCGAUGCACGCACGGAAGACCUCUGCAGUACCAUGGCCUUCACUCCUUGAAUCCAUAGCCCUUCUUGUCGUUGUGUUGUUCACUGAAGUGGAGCUUCCAGUAGCUCCCGAUCAUACCUUCGUAUGAUCUAGUCCCUCACAGGACUAUGUCGUGUGUAUCGCAUUGCCACGAACUGUUCCACCACGAUCCGCUGCACCAUGUCGCCUCCUGGUGACAUCUCCAUUGCAUUCUGAUCCUUGUGGAAUAAACUCGAAUUGUGAACCCUCCAUGUGUGUCCUCUGCCAAUACAUCGCACGGUCUCUUCCACCUUCGAUUUUGUUCGCUCCUUUGGCAAUCGACCUUCAUCCACCCACUCUUGGGUCNNNNNNNNNNNNNNNNNNNNGUCGCCUAGUAGCUCCCGAAGUCCACCGACUUCACUGUAAUUUGUGCACCAUUGUCUGGGUCCUGGGUCUCUGCCCCUACCAGCACAAUCUCCGCUGCGCACUGCUUCCUUCAUGACAACUUGAAUGGCAACACUGUGGCAUAUUCUUCAAGAGUACCCACCUUUGAGUCCUCUUGCCCCGUGCUAAGGCCUUCUGAACCCAAUUUCGCCUUCGCAAAUUGAGUCGCCUUAGUUCCUCCAUCAAAUGCUUCUCCGAGAUAAGGUGCAUGUGCCCAGAAGCUCCCUUCGUCUUCGACACCAUGCAAGAUGAGUCUGCUCCGUCAGAAUGAAGGACCCAUGGAACAACAUGAUCCUACUCUUGCCUCUGCAAGAGUUCAUGUCCUUGACCUCUAUCUAAGGAAAGCACUGUGCCUCUGCUCCAUGUUCCAACUUCUAUGCUGGCUCCCUUCAUGCGGCUUGGGUACUUCGCCAAGUUACACCCAAGUUACUCCGCUCCUCGUUUUUGCAUUGAGUCGAUGGUGGCCCUCGCGCCCACCAUUCCACGGGUCAGCCCUCCCUUGAGCCCGAUCUCCAUAUCAACUCCAAGUAUGCCUUCAUUUGAGUUGCUUUGGGUUGCUCCCCCACUUGAUCUCGCAAUGCAUCCACCAAUGCAUUCUCUCGAGCGAGAUCAUGCAACGACUCCUCGCUGCUUGCUCAGUCCAUUGAGCUUCGUGGAGUUGUUUGUUGAGGUACUCCUCCUCAACUUGUGAGGUAUGUCCCACAUGAUUCUCCCUCUGGAGAGCCGGGACUUAUCCCUCCUGGAUAACUGUCCCAUUGGAGCAACAUCUCUCUUCGUUUCGGAGACCACCAUCCCCUUGGACUACUCCGAUCUGCUGAACAAACUGUGCAUUGUUCUGCCUCCUGCAAACGCACUUGCUAGAUUGCGACUUCACGUCAAUACAGCCCCUGCUGCACCACUCAAGGCCUAGCAACAUGCUGAACUCGUUGCAUACUUCAGCUUCCUACGGACGUAUCUUUCACAUGCCGAAGAGAAAGUUUCAAUGCUCCAUGGCGCCGAGUUUCGGUCGCCAUGGGAUGGCCACGAACAUUCCAUCGUCCGUAUACAAGCCCAUGCGUGAGUACCAAAUUCUUCGAGUUAGCAAUUCCCCUCACCUCUGUGAGCUUUGCAUAACUCUUUUGGUCGUUGAGCAACUCAUUCCACCUUGCAUGGUCUCAUCCUUUACCAAGCGUCUCGCUUGUCUUGAGCACCAUCAAGUAUAGUUGUCAACGUUGAGCCAUAGCUCAAACUCAGCCAUCCCAACCUUUGUGUGCUCUGUAUUCUUCCAAGCUUGCCUGUUCUCGUGGUGCCUCUUGCGCGAAGGGUUGGCCAUUCCUCCGAAUGCCAAUGUCAGAUGCCCGCUCCUCCGAGCGACUCCUUUUCCCUACAUCUCCAUGCCCAUUUUCCCCCAAACGGUCACGCGUGUGCUGACUGCCCUCAAUGCAGCCCCGCUAGGUCCCCCACAUUUGCAUGCUAAGUGUUUCUAUGAGUGCUUGUCCCGCUUUGAUACCAUCUGUCACGGACUUAGCUGGUUUUGCCUAAGUCGUGCGGCACCCUUGCGUGUCCGUCCGCAAAGGUCAACCUCCCCGAAGCCUCCCAUUGUCCCUUAGGACCAACAAAAGAGAGAACGGGUUAGAGAGAACGCCUCAAUCGGGAUCCACAAGCAAACAUCUCCGAAAAACACUUCAUAGACAAUGCAAAUUACAAACAGACUUUACAAGCUCUGAACAGUUGCACAACAAAGGGUAAAAUGGUCCAUUACAGACCGAAAAUCUCUCGCACGUGUCCACAUGACACAACCUUUAUUUACAAGCCUAAAGAGGCCACCAACGCAACUAAAAUGGGACUAUUAAGCCUUCGGCCGUUCCUCUACAUGCUAUACAAGGCAUGAACAUACCAAAAGACACGGACAUACAUAAGCAUUACAUCAAACAUCCUGUUUAGAAGUUUGUCCGUGACAACUCGGUAUACCGUACCGUACCGGUACCGAGCCCAGGUCGAAAUACCGGUACAGUACGGUAUUGCGAACCUUGGUUUUAAGUGAUUAUAUGCUAUGUUAAUUUCAACUUCUACAGACCUAUUCCAUGAAUAAUUUAAAACCAAAGAGAGGUGACACUUAAACACGCAUCAAAACUUAGUCGUCCUCAUUGAGUGCAACCUCCUUUAUAGAACUUAAAACAAAGGAUAGAAGCAAACGAUAAGCUUUUUUAAUGAAAAAAAUGCAAACAACAUUAAUUUUAAUGUAGAAAACUUAAUAUAUUUUAAACAUAGAUCACAGCAUUCAGCCUUUGCCACAUAUUAGAAAAUUAAUUUGUUGUAUAUGUAUGACUAUGACCAGCAUAAUAAUAACAAAGUUUAACAAAACACAUUUAUACAUGAAAUAUUGAAGACAUCACAUGAAACUAUAUGUCAACACAAGUCAUGCCGAGGGAAAGGGGAGACCAAUUUAGCAACUUGCAGAUACAGGAAUUUCACUCUUGAUACACAUCCAUCCAUUAAUAGGCAUGAAGCUUAAUAACAUAAUCAAAUACUGGUUUCAGGAUAAUGAAUGUUUAUGCGUGUUGACAGAAGAGGGCUCACAGAAACAUGAAAGAUAUAAUUACUGGGUCAAAACAAGAGUGCACAAAGCCCCAUACCGAUCUAAGAGUGAUUUUCAGACUGAUAGGAGAUGCCUUUUUCAAUUCCUGGAUUGCAACCACAAUCCACUCAUCGGCCAUGCUAGCAGAUUCUUUUUCCUGAAACAAUUAGAGCAAGUUUGACCAGGUGUGAACUCGGUGAUAAUGCACCAUCGAUGAACUUUAGAAAGAAGAAAUUAAAGAACACGGUUACCUAAAGGAAAAUAAGUAACUGAUGUUUAUAAUAUGUUCAUGGAAAGAUGUCACUCGACUUACAAGAGCAGAUAUAAUAUCUUCAACUGUUUCUUUGGAGAAGCACUUGUCAAUUAUAUCCAAUCUACAAGGACAACAGAAGAUUUAAUAAUGAAUAGAUCAAAACAUAGAAAAUCAUAGAAGCAAUUAAGAUGAAUAGAUUAAGCAAAGUUCCACCAAAAAAAGCUUCUACGUGAUUGAUGGCAGGUCUGAUAAUCCAUUCCAACAGAGAUUACUUGGAUCCUGCUACAUUUAUAUGAAUAAUUUGUACUAUUUUCUUCCUACAGAAGUGCAAAAAAGAAUUGUUCCCAAAGACGAAUCAGGUCAACCUGAUCCAACAUAGACCAGACAAGUUUAGUUCAAUCGAUCAACACAUUGGUCUGAUCAGAUGAAUGAAGUCUUGAUUCCCAUUGGUUUUGGUUCAAGCAUAAUGUCUCAUAAUGCUGAGGCAGCCAAAUGCUAACCAACACAUUUAUUUAGGGUAAGGUUCAGGUUAGCCCUAUAUGACCUUACAAGCUGGCAACUAAUACUACUACUAAUGCAGAUGUUUGGUAACCUUUGUUGCUUUUUCUGCUUAACGAUGCACAAAUCAUGGAUGUCUUAAAAAGAAUCAUAUAAGUGUUUUUUUAAUUCUCAUUAUCAAAAGAAGUCUGAACUUCAAAGAUCAUAUUUAUAAAUAUUUCAAAUUUGGUUUAUUAAAGUUGGAUAAUCAUCAAAUUUCUCAAAGUUGGAUCAAAAUAUCACGACUGUAGAUAAUUGUUAAAGAGACAAAAAGUAUAAUGAAUAAUAGAUUUGACGUAGAAAGAAAAAUUUUAACGCUUAUACAAAAACAUAUCUGGAUCACCAAUUAGGCAUGAGAAAAUUUAGCAUGCGAAUGACAUGAAUUUAGCAUGAGAAAAAUUGAUGUUUUUGAACACAAAAAAGCAUUAAAAAAAAAGGUUGUAUCAAUAAAGUGAUCUGUUCACCUAUAUAAGCUUACUCUUAUUAAGGACAAUAUAUUAAUCGAAUUUCUCAAAAACUUACUUCAUAAACUUAAAGAUGUCAAUAUGCUAUUCAGGACAAAAUGAAUAACACUUACACAUGUUAUGUUUCAUUAUCAUUUCUGAGUAGUCCCCUUUCACUAGACACUGCCACAUUAUGACCAUGUAUAUCUGACCUCUAAAGACUAUGGAGUCCCCACUGACAUGCCCCUUACUGAUGUAGUUACAAAUUAGAUCAAGGUUUCGCCUUUUCUCAUACAAAGCCUACUUGGUUUUCAAUCCACAUGUAGUUUCUCCAAGCUCACCAGGAAAAAAGAAACUUAGUCCUUCCACUUAAGAUAACUUUUAUUAAAACGAAAAAAAAGAAGGCUGCCAUGCUAAAAAUCAGCACUUUACUACAAGGCUAGCUUAGAUGUAAAAAAGAAGUUUCUUAAACAGAUGCAAUAAAAAGAAAAAAAACAUUUUACUGAUAGGCUGCAAAAGAUUUUUUUUACUAUAAACCAGAUUUGCUUUCUCUGAAAUUUACUUCUCAAUGCCUAAUACAAUCUGUUAUUGCCUACAACAACAAAGCCGUAAUCUGUUGUUGCCUGGACAAUAAAAAAUAAAUAGGAGAAAGAUCUGAAGACAAAGAAGGAAAGAAUAUCGUGAAAUAACAAUCCCUAAUAACUCAAUGAAAAAAGAUCCAAGAACUUACAAAUCUCUGAGAAUUUUGCAGCAUAUGCAAAGCUUCAUAAACAAAUCCAACAAUUGUUUCAGACUCCAACAGAUCCAUGAAACAAAAUAGAACACAAAACGGCUGACAACACUGUGAGCUGGGAAAAUAUCACAUCAUAUCAAACUAGAUUUGCAUACUUUUUAAGUGAUUGAGAUUGUUUCAAGAAAGCUGACUGUAGGUGAAUUACAUAUGUUUCAAUAACAUGUAUACAUGCCAGAUACCCUUAACAUAAAUGCACAUGCGCACCCAUAAAUCACUGUGGUGGGGCAACAAAAACAGAUGAACAAACCAGCAAAUAUGAAACAUGUGGAAGAGGAGAGGGGGGAGUAAUGGAUCAUUAAGUUACCUAUUAUAAGCACUACUCACUUUCAGAGGCACCAUUUUUGAGAAUUGAUCAAUUAUUGCGCAGAUUACAAAGGGAUCAGAAGUUUCCACCUUAGUGAGUAAAUCUUCCAGGUAUGUCAAAUUCUGUUAGCUAACAAAACAAGAAUUAGAAAUACGUUUCUCACCAUAAUCAAGACUUCUAAAAACCCUCCAUACUAGAGAUCAAUACAAUCUGAGACUUCAGAAAGACAACUUAAAGAACAUUAUGCAAACUUGGUAACAUAGAUGGAAAUAAGUAACCAAAGUUAUGAGGCCCUACAAGGCAAGAGUAAAAAGGAGCAACCGAGCAAGCCAGGAACAUUAUGAGAUCAAUAUGUCAAUUGAGGAACAAAAGAACACUAAAAAGAACAGUAACUUAUGAAAAUCAUACCAUAGAAGGGACAAAGUGAGUUGCUAGGCCACAUGCAAGCAUUUCAGCCCCAUCUAACCUUGCACCGGUCAAGCCAACAUAUUCCCCUGAGAAUAAAAUUAAUCAUUGAUUAUAUGCAUAUAGAUUGAAAUCUUGAACCAGCUUUGAAAUAUCAAAAUAACCAGAUAUAUAAAAAAUUUCCUAAAAACCAAAGAAGUCAUUUAUUGCAAUAGAAAGAGAGAGAGAGAGAGAGAGAGAGAGAGAGAGAGAGAGAGAGAGAGAGAGGUUGAAGGUCACACCACUGUCUCAGGGGGAGACAAGCCACCUUCACACUUAAUCAUAAUGUCACUCAUGUCACCAUAUUCUUAAAAUCUAAUCUUGCCCUCCUUGAAACUAGUAAUGCCAAAACUGUCCAUUCUACUACUUAAGCAUCUAUUUCAAGAGAAAGGCCAUCCUGGAAUCAUGGACAUAGAUGGAAUCCCCUAUUGCAUCUUUUCAGACUUGGCAGCAGGACUAAUAUCUGCCACAAUGAUGCAAAAAGAGAACACAGUUAAAAACAUUCGGAGUCUUGAAAGGCAACCUUCAAGUGGAGAUUUUAAACUCGAGGCCACUGAACUUAUGCCUUCUCAUCAGAUACUGGAGUCUUCUCAUCAUGCAUUAUGUCUGACUAUCUAACCACCCUAGUAAAUUCAUUUAGAGAAAUGUUAUUGGACUGUCAGUGUAUGCCUUCUUUAUGCUAAAAAUGAACCGCCACGACCAUUCUCAGUGAACUUUGUCAUUGGCACGAUGGAUCUUUUAAGGAAAUGAGCAUACAAGAGAUUUAAAGGCAUCAGAUAACCAUCCAGUGCGGUGAGUUCGAGUGCACAAGAAGGCCCAAGUAUUCUCUCUAGUUGAUUCAGUGAGACAACCAAAUACAACAUCAGGAAACAGUAAAGAGAUGAAUAGAACUGCCUUUAGAAACUUUCAUGACCAGUCAUGAUCCAAAAUGGAACAGCAUAUCAACUCUCAAGUGAUCUUCACUGAAUCACAAACAAUGCCACCAAAGAGUGUUUUUGUUGGCAAAACAAAGUGGAACAGUAAACUUGUGCACACACAAAGAGAAUUGUUUGAGAACCUUCAGCAAAAUUAACAAAAAAUUUACUAGGUUCAAAAGCAUGUCAAGUUAACAAAGAACAAAAGCGUAACUGCAGAAGCUCCUAAAUGACCAUGUGAAUAUAAUAGGAUAAUCUUAGCAAAUAUAUUUUUAUUAUAGCAAGUCUUAUGGAGUUCACAGCACUCUUUUAUGAGAUGUCAAAGCUACAAAUAUUGUAGCAAGUUUUUGAAUUACAACAUGAGAAUUCAGGUUUUCCUGAUUGUGAAUAAGCUCUUCCAAAUAAUUAAAACAACAAAUCAGAACGGACAAACAUAUUCUACAUUUUGAAGGGACAAGUUUCAGUCUUCUUACUGCAGAAAUUAAAUUAAACCAAUAAGAAAUGUCUAAACAUUCUUUCAAUUCAACAAUUUCAGCUAAAGACUAAAUUAGCAUCUUGAAAAAGAUAAUCUAGCAAUCUUUCCAAACAUUUGAGGAAGUGUAGAAUGAAAAGGGGAAAAGGAGAUCAAUUAAAGUUUUUAUUUAGUUACACAAAACAUAAUGAUAACAAUAACCAAAAUGUUCAAGUCUUUAUAAGUCUUAUUUUUAUUUCUUACUAAACAGAUUAUAUUCCUUUUCCUUAUCAGAACUUGAUAGCUAUCACGACAAAUUUUGAAGAAGUUGUAAAUGAUUUGAACUUUCAGUCAGUCAUAUACUCAAUUGGUUGAUCCAGCGGCAGACAUCCCUCUUCCUACUUGUCAGAGGCAGAGUUUUGAGUUUUUAUCUGUUGAGAGUACAUCAUGUGAACAACAGAAAUAUAAUUAAAAUUAGUUCAAUGCCAUGAUGACAGCAAAACCUCCAAAGAUAUAUCUGGCUAGAUCCUACUAACUCAGUUGACUGCCUUUUCUACUUGUAAUUGUCUGAAAAAGUUUAAUGAUGAAAAUAUCAGGUUCUACUUGCACUCAUAAGUAGAUUUACAUGAGUGAGAGCAGGUGGAAAGAAUUGAAUAAAGAAAGCACAAUGUUUCGUUUUGCCCUAAAAUUAAAAUGCAUUCUUUGAUACUUCCAAAAAGCAUAAUGUGCUGUCAUACCAAAAGAAUACAAUGUAUUGUUUGAUACUUCCAGUUUACCAAACAACAAACAAUUGCCACAUAUGCAUAUAAUAAGCACAUGCACUAAAUUAUUGUUUACUAUAUACUCAGACUCAUGCAUCAUAUGAACCAAGAUGUAAGACAAAACGAUUCCUAUUGGCCAUCUCAAUGAUCUUGAGAAUAUAAAUAAGCAAUAACAAAAGGCUGUUUACUAUAUCUUUCUUAACAGAUUUUAAAACAAAAUAGUGAAGCUAUGGACAAAAUCAAACAUUUAUAGAAAUCUGAAGUAAAAGGUGCGAUAAAGAUUUUGAUCUAGUGUUACAAUAUGAAUUAUGACAUACAUGACAAAUAAGUUAGAAUUACCAAAGAAUCCUGGAAGCCUUGAUAAAAAAUAUGAAGCGCCUAUAUCUGGGAAGAAUCCCAGUGCUGUUUCUGGCAUAGCAAAAACCUGCACCAGAAUAUAUGACUGGUACUUUAGUUGAUCCUUUGAGUAGGUAAUACAAACAAACACAGGAUUUCAUGGACAUGAUCCAUCAUGAAUUUAAAUAUGCCACAUAUCCGGUCCACGCAUGUAUCAAAGUACUUGUAUUCAUGUUUGGGAUGAUCAAAUUUAUAAUAUCAGCAAAUACAUAUAUUGAUUAUACUAUAAAUAAAAUGGCAUACAUCUUUACCAGUUUUCCUUCCAGUAACAAUUAACACAGCAGAUACGGCAAUUCACUAAUAAUGUGAAAAUAAAGUUAUCAUGGGUUAUGCAGUAGAGAAAACAAAAUAGGUUGAUGUAAAUGAAACUACAGUAAAAUGCUGACGUGAUGAAAGAAAAAGAGAGAAACCUCAAACAUGUUACAUUAUAGGAUUUGAAAAUGUAGCUUUAUCAUGUUUGCCAAGUUGGAUUAUGAGGGUCAAAAAAGUGUAUCAACAGAAUUAAGCAGAAACGCAACCACACCAAAGCACGUGUUGUGGCUCCACCCAACUUAACAUGUCAUUUGUUAAUCGAUAACAUUCCAAGUUUAGUAGUAGCCUGCUAUAUAAUUACAUAAAACUAGGGUUCAUCGUACUGAGCUGUACCGCUCAAAAUGGGUGGUACAUACCGGUCCGAUAAGGGAUCGAUGCGUGAACCGCCCUCUACCAGGUAAUACCCAUUACAUGAGCCUGUAUCGAGCGAUACAGGAUCUGUACCGAUCAGUAACGAUCGAUUUUCGACCGUCACUGAUCAAGGGCUCAGAUUAUCAUAUUUUAAACGGUCAAUUUGACUAUUUGAACCAUAAGAAAGGAUUUUUAAACCCUUUCCUCCCCCCUCUUUCAACCCAUUUCACUCUCUUAAACUCUUCAACUCACUCAAACUCUUUAUCACUCACAUCUCUUAACAAGGUACUAGUCAAGUUUAUACAUGAAAUGGGAAGGGAAAAACAGUGAAUGAUUUUGAGCAAAUGCGAUAGAGCUUACUCGACGUAAACACAGAGUGAAGCUCAUUGUAUUUACAGUCGUCAUAUUAUGGAGAAUCUUAUAGUCAACAGCAGUAUGAUGAUGGUCAUACUUCUCCGAGCAAUAGUAUGAUAAUCGAUCUUAUGAUAUGAAGCAGUAGAUCAAUGGCGAAAAUAGAAGUUCUGACAUUCUCCAUGCUCCACACGAAUACAUACCACAACCAUCCUUGCCUCAGGAGUCACCUCGGACACAUGAUUCACGAUGAUCAGACUACGACCAUCACUACAUUGUUGCACCAAUGACAUAUGGUAUAUCAGUAUACUAUGCCGUGGGAUCAAUUUCAUGAUUGGGUCUGACAAAUGUAUUAGAUUGAUAUACAGAUACAUAGGAACAAGGACCCCAAUCCACCGCCCGUGGAGUCCCGUCGUUUUUUUCGGUAAUAGAACUAGGAAUAUCCAUCGAUUAAUUACUUAAUUUGUUUAAAUCUUAAAGUUUAAGUUGUUUAAAAAUAAUCUAACAAUUCAAAUCAUUUCUUUGUAGAUAAUUCAAUAUUAACGAAAGAAAUAUCUGAAACGUACCACAAAGCUACUCCUCAAAAGCUUAAAAAGAUGUAUCAUUAUUCUUUCCUAAUUUUGAUUAUUUUUUAUAAAAUUAUACUAAAUUUAUACUUAUUUACAAUUUAAAAACCCUUAUCCAACUUUUUUUAUUUUUUAAAAAUUUUAGGAGCUAUGUUUAAUAAUAAUUUUACUAUACUGUCGAUACACCCAAGCAUACCAAUAUAUGGUACAUUGGCAUCCCUUGGUACAUAUCGUACCAAUGGUUGGUCUAUACAACGGUACAAACUAGUUUCACGAACCUUGCAUAAAACAACCAUAAAACACACAAACAGCAAAAAAAAAAAAAGUAGGCAUAAAAUGUAGUGGAUGGAGACCCGUGAAAAUUUUGCACCAAACAGAAGCAAAAACAUCGUAGAAGAACUUGUGUGUAGUUCUUUGCAACGUGGAUGACCAAGAAUCAAGUCAUGAAAUAGUCACUGUAUUUAUUUCUAGGAUAAAGAAUGUAUAUAUUGGCCCUCCCCUCAGGCCCCACACCGGGAGAGUCUCAUGUACAAGGUUCUAACUUUAUCAUCAAAUUACAUAUUACAAGUAUGAAUUGGUGCAUAAUGGAGGACAAAACCCUAAUUAUCAUUUGACAGGCUGAAAAAAAAGCCCUGAUUUAAAUGGACAAGCAAUCGGUGGAAACAAAAGUGACUUGCUAAAAGAAUAUUACAAAACAGUCAGGAUGAGAUUUCGAUUUUGGAUAUUAUCACAUUCAUAAAUAUGCACAAAAGUAUAUGACCUUGUUUCUGAUUAACCCAUUUGUAAAUUUCCUAUCUGCUACUGCCUCGGUAAAGUUAAAAAACAUAGGUUAACUGCGAAAAUUGAAUCGAACAGCAUAAUAAGCAUGAACUUAGUUAAGUAAUAGUUAACUAUUACUUUCGCUUCAAAGGCAAAUGUUCCAGUCAUGCAUUAGCUAAAGAAACAUACCGUUUUCUCUGUGACAACUCUAAAUCUACCAUGUAUUGAAAUGCCAGCCCCACCACCCAUGACAAUUCCAUCUAGAAUAGAAACCUUCAAACAUGGUAUUGUAGGUUAACAUGAUUCUAAGAAAUGCAUUAGAAAAAUGACAUUCACAAAUAAAAAAAUAAAACGUUAGAGGAUAAGUCACCUGAGGCUUGCUGUAAGUUGCAAUUAUGUAAUUUAAGGUAUAUUCAUUCCGGAAGAAUUCUGCACCCAGAGUCCAAUGACCUGACAGAAUGAUAGCAAGAAUCCCAGUUGAAAGAAAGUGGAUGAAGGGAAAAAAACAUAUUUAUGUUUCAACUUGGAACAAAGAACUUUGAAACAAGGUUCUUUUAGAACAUCAUAGCAAAUUUCCCUAGCAAGCUUGUAGUUUAUAGUUUAGACAUCAGUCAGAAUGACAGGUACAGUCACUGCACCUUCCAAACCUUCUCAUUAGACUUGGUCUCAUCCCUUGACAGGCAACACAGAUAAUUAAAUCUACCUUGAGUUACAGAUUGGACAACUGCUGCAACAUCCCCUCCAGCAGAAAAUGCUCUUCCAUUUCCCUGAAAGCUAUAACCCAUUAAAAUAUUACCAAAAACUGAAUUUAGCACAUGGAUCCUAGUACCAUAAGAAUGCUACGAUAAGUGUGUUCUAGCACCCUAGUUGGCUCCACCAAGAAAAUGGAAAGGAGAGCUCAAUGCAUAUAAUUUUUUUUACAAAUUAUAACCUAGUUGUAACCAAUUUAAGAUUUUCCCAGUACCAGAAAAAAGGUAAUAAAACUGAACCCUUCUUAUUUCAAAAUCAUUGUUUGCAUCAACAUCCACACAAACACACGUACACGUGCACGCUGCACACACAUAUACACGCACCUUUAUCUCCAACUGAAAGCUCGAAAGCACUCUCAUCUAUCCCGAACAUUAGUAGAGAUUCAACACCUCAAUGUGAAACUAGCCCCAGAUAUUUGCAGGAAGCGAGAUAAAUACGAAUAUCUGACAACUCAAGAUGAGAAGUAGAAUGUGUGGAAUUACUGAAUCUCAUAGCAAGAAUUUCAUCAAUUGGUGUGGAGUCCUACAGAACACUGGAGGCACCAACCAUCAUUGUUUAUCACAUUUGUUGUUGCUUCCUUAUGACCGAAAAGCAUGCAUCAAGGAAACAUGAGCAAUCCAAAUAGCCAAAAAAACCUUAAGUGAUUGGCUAUCUGAAUUGGUCUCUAUGAAUUAUUGGAAUUCCUUCAGAUGAUAGACAUGCCAUGAAUUAGUGCUUCUAGCUCUAAUGAAGUAUUUCUCACAUGCACAAGCUAAAAAAGGCAACAUAAGUGAAGGUUGACAUUCUCUGUAAAUUAGUACUAGAUGAGUUAUUAAUUUACCUUCAUUAUCAAUAAUUUGACAUCAGAAUCCUUCUCAUAAGCAACAAAAAGCUUCAGUAGCUUCAUAAUCUGGAAAAGAAUUAUUAUACCAGAAUUAUUUCGUAAGAAUUUUCAUAUUGUGAUGAUAAAAUAAAAAAAUGUUCGAUUCAGCUUCCCACAUCAAAUAAAUAAUAGAGCUCGCAUAUAAAGGAGCCAGAUAAAUUCUCCAAACGAUUCAACUCGAAGAAAAAACAUACAAGUGGCGCAUAAGAUAAAAAUCAUGAUAUUGCAUGUAUAACAUAAGCUGCAGUCCACAACAAAACAAACAUAGGGUACCUCAAGGUCACAUACACAGUAUUAGCCAUGCUGAGGAUCCUUUUUUUACUGAAGAUACAUUAUAAAAAUGCAUUAGAAUAUUGUAAACAGAAUAACAGGAGAUGUGUGCUACAGCUCAGCAAAAUUUUAUUGGAUGAUUUUGUACUCAUCUGUCAAGCUAUUUCAGUAGUGAGUUACAAGGAUCUACGUGAUCAAAAUUACUUUAUUAAGGACCACAAAUUUCAUCAAUUACAAAAUAGUACUAAAAAUAAAAACAACAAAAUAAAAAUAUAAACCAAACUUUAUUUUCAUAUUUAUUAACUUGAAUAUGGCAACAUGCAGCUUCACAACAUAGGUAGUACAACAAAAAAUAAGACCACACAAGCCAAAUGAGAAGCAAUCGUAUGAUUGCUCUCAUAUGCAGCUCAGUGAUUUAAAAAGACGCUCGGGUGCUCGCCUAGGCACUCGGGCAAGGCGAGGCGAGGCCCGAGCGCCUCACUAAUCUCCCAGGCGGCGCGCUUCAAACAGGCGCCGCCUGGGCGCUUCGGGCGAGCGCCUGGGUUAACCAAGGCGACCGAACCAGGAUUUUAGGUCUGGUUCGGUCUCUGAUGGUUAGUUGGUUCAAUCGAACCAACUAAAAUCGAUAUAAGUGAGAACCCAACCCUAACCCUCGCCGCUGCCGCUGCCGCUCCCGAUCCCGAUCCCGAUCUCGCUGCUCGCCGUUGUCGCUGCUCGCAAACGCUGCCUCUGUCGCCGCUCGCGCCUCUUGCUGCUCGCCGCUCCUGCUCCCGCUCCCGCUGCCGCUGCUCGCCACUAUCGCUGCUCACAAACGCUGCCUCUGUCGCUGCUCGCGCCUCCUGCUGCUCGCCGUUGUCGCUGCUCACNNNNNNNNNNNNNNNNNNNNNNNNNNNNNNNNNNNNNNNNNNNNNNNNNNNNNNNNNNNNNNNNNNNNNNNNNNNNNNNNNNNNNNNNNNNNNNNNNNNNNNNNNNNNNNNNNNNNNNNNNNNNNNNNNNNNNNNNNNNNNNNGCUGCUCGCCGCUCCUGCUCUUACUGCUGCUGCUCGCCGCUGUCGCUGCUCGCAAACGCUGCCGCUGUUGCCGCUCGCACCUCCCGCUGCUCGCCGCUCCUGCUCCCGCUCCCGUUGCUUGCCGCUGUCGCCGCUGCCUCCUUACACUCCGCUGCCGCUACCGCUUCCUCUUUUCUCAGUCAGCAGGCUCAGCACCCCUUACACUUCCUUCUUCUCCUUCUGUUAACAGUAUACAGUAUACUAUUAACAGUAUACUAUAUACUAUUAAUAUUGUUAGGUUUAUUUGAAAUUAUUAAUUUUUAAUACUGUUAAUAGAUUUUCUUAAUUUAAUAGCAUAUUUUAAUUUAAAAUUUUAAAUAAUUAUAUUUAUUAAUUAUAUUAUAUAUUUUUAUAUUUUAGCGUCUCGCUUCGCUCGGGCGAGCGCCUAGCGCCUCGGGCAUUUUUGGACCUUAGCGUCUUUUAGCGCCUAGCGCUUUUUAAAUCACUGAUGCAGCUGCAUAGGCUGCUUGAAACAAUGGUUGAAAUUGAAUAGAAUUGACAUCAAAAUGUCCAUUUAAAUUCUGACAUCCAUCAUCUCAGAAGUACUUAUGAAUCAUUUUCUUGGACAAGUUGCUAGCAAUGUCCAGCUCUUAUUUUUCUUUUUGCUUAAAGUUACAUAUAGAGUUGAAUGAUCUAUUGAACUCCAAUUUCACAGUCAUCAAGUCUCUUCCAUACACUAAUAAGACACCCGUAGUAAGUCCAGUAUCAUACCUGAAUAAAAAAUUUUCCUUCUUUAUUCUAAUUUCAGCAUCCUCUAAAAAGAACACCAUUUCACUCCUAAAAUACUUUGGUAGAAAAAUUACUACUCUGAGAGGGUUGCACUGCCACUAAUAAGUCCUCAAUAACAAACAACACAUCUCACUCCAAAAAUUGAUCUUUCAGAUACUUCCAUAGGAUAAUUUGAAAGUUUUAAUAAAUCAAUCCUGCUCAUGGAAAAUUGCUUCUAUUAUGUUAGCCAAAAUAUCCCAUAAAAGUUUUGAUUUUUAAAUUCCAUUAAACCAUUUAAGAAUUCAUUCUUUCAUGUCCAUUUGGUAUAACUGGUAGCCUCAGCAGUUAUGGAGCUAAAAGCAAAGAACUUACGCAUAUGACAAACAAUAACUUAUGAGUUAAAGCAUACAUUAUUGUGUAAUUAUGUCAGGCAAAAGAUACGAAAACAUCAUAAGUAAAUCACCAGACAUAUCCAAAUUUAUACUUUUCAACAAUGAGCCAAUCACAUGUGUAUCCACUGAUGAAGAAAUUUGAUGAAUCCUUGAAGUUGCAGACAGUUAUUUCUUUAUAGAAGACAUUAAAAGAAAUGAACAUCACGAAAUACCAUUGGAGUAGACAGAGCAUUCAGCUGUCGAGGCCUGUUAAGUGUCAAUAUCCUUGUAAACCUGCAGUCUUCUACCAAAACCUAUCAAAUCCCCAAAAAUACUGUGAAAAAACAACAAUAUUUGGAGAACACUAAUAUGUAGUUGAGAAUAAUACAAAGAACACAUUUCAGAAGCAUAGUGCGAUGGACCUCAAAGGAACAAUUUCACGAUCCAGAAAAUUGAGCAAAAAACCCUAGUGCCUUGUGACAUUUGUGAAAAAUGAAAUCAAUCUAGCACUAAACCAAUGGCCAUUUAAUUAUUAAAAAAUCAAUAAAAUUAUAAAAAGGGACCGGACGGAACACCGCCUCAAAAAAGUGCCCAACAAAUAAUGAUUUACUGAGAAUCUUGUUUACGGAGGUGCCUUAAUUGUUCGUUGUGUUGUUGUCUCAUACUAUGUUUACCCCCUAAUAGGUUUAUCUUCGACUUCACCUUCACACAACAUACACCAUACUAGAGAAAGUCUUACGAGCGUGUGAUUCCAAGACCAACAAUCGUGCCUGGUUUAAUAUCAUACGGCAUUAUCUCUCAUAAGUAGACAACACACAAUUCACAAGAAGUUCUCCUCAUCGGCCACACCAAAAAGCCACUUUCUUGCAUUUUUUCUCGGACCAAGAAAGAAACUUUCAGGUGGCCAAUCAAAACCCACGUUUUAAAUUCAACGAAAAACAUAAAUACCCGGCCAGUGCUCCCUUAAAAGACUGGAAAAGAUCACCUGAUUGGUUGUGCCGUCGUUGCUAGCGUUUUGUGAGGACGAGGCCAUGACGUGUUCGAAAGCCAAAACCUUCCCUUCGCAAUCAAGAAACCGGUGAAAGAAGAGACGGAGGGGGGUGGGGGGUGGGAGGGGAGGGGAGAGAUCAAAGACAAAGAAAAUAUCUGAUAGAAAGAUACUUCCGUACCAAAUGAACCAGCGAUCAAGAAGGAUUGAGGACCGAACCAAAUCGAGGGAGAAGGGAAGGAAGAAGGGGAUGUCGUCUUUGAUACGAGUUUCUAAGAUGUCAGAUAUGCUUCCCUGCUCAUAGUGAAAUUACAAUGAUGCCGCUUGAUAUAUUGAAUUUUCUUAAAAUGUCAGGAACCGUAAAAAAACCCCUUCUUUUUAAUUAAAAUGAUGCCCCUUAAAAUAGCAAUUAUUUUUAAAAUUCAUAAACCAUUAAAAAUAAACAUAUUUUGCAAGAUUUAUGAUAAUUUUGAGUUUAAAAUUAGGUACAAAAUACAACUCCAGUAAAAUUGAUAUGAUCAUAUCUAGGAGAAACACACUGGACUUAUACUGCUGCAAUUUGAAAAAAAUUAUAUAUUGUAUUACGAGUGUAAAAUAAAAUUUUAAUAAUUCAUCGUAAGAUCAAGAUCAUGAGAUCAGUUUUAUCCUUUGCAAAAAGAAUUAGAUUUGUCAAAAUAGUCAAAAAUAAGUUAGAAACCAAAGCAAAGAGAAUUGCACACCAUGAAAGUGAGAAAGGUCGACUAGAUCCUGUCAAAGAGCACACUAGAAGGCUCAGGCACUGUCACACAAGCGGCUGUUGAACGAGAUACAGAAAAGCAUGAUCAAUAAUAUUUGUCCAAACACCAAGAUCAUAAUUUUAGACCUGUUUGAAUUGUAUACAAUCCUGGCAUACACACUUCCGAUACGACAAAGUAACAUUCAUAGGUUUCCUUGAAAAGUAUCUGUUACCCAACUAGAGUACCAUAUCUAGCUCCCCCUGUAUGUGGUGAAUGAAAAGGGUGAAUGCAGCAGAGGAACAUGAAAGUGUUCUGCUAUCUGGUUUUCUCUGACCUGAAACACCAAGCUGACAUAAGGAAAGAAGCCAGAGGGUGCAUAUUUACCGGUGUCGAAACUUAUCCGGUAAAAGCCAGGAGUUAUAUGGUCAACGAUGCCCAUCAGAGGGCCGCUGCGUCCAUCAGUAUUUGUUGUCGAAGAGCCUAUCAACAUCCAGUCGGUGGAUUCUCUGUUUGUAAAUGAUGGGUGCUGCUGAGUUCCUUUCCACAUUUCAAGGUGAACCUCCAUGCCGGAAGCUGGAGAGCCACGGGCAACAUCCAGGACAUGGGUUGUG
rnacentral:lncRNA from 1 species